rnacentral:lncRNA from 1 species
AAUUAUUGAAAAUAAAAAAAAAAAGAUUUUAGUAAGAUAUUUUGCUAAUUUGAGUGACAGUCGGCAAUUACAGCUCCCAAUCCAACGACGCCGGCAGUCGGCAGCCGUAUCCGAACCCAGCUUCCCAAAUUGACCCGUAUCCGAAUUCGAUCCGACCCAAUCAGCGUACAAACGCAAUUUCCCUCAACAGCUCAGCCCUUUUGGUUUUUGAAUUUCGAAUUUGUGCCAACCUGAUAGUGCAAUUACAGCUCAUCCUCCUUUUCCCUUUCUAAAAAAAUCAAACACCUUUACCCCAAAGAUUUCGGAGAUUACCCUCGGAUUCCUCUUUCUCCCACGGGAGUGGGAUUUCAAAAGAACCCCUCAAUUCAUUCUAUAAAAGAGCUCAUGAUUUAGCUGGAAAAGGAGGGGGAGCAGAGGUCGGGGAGGGAAAAAGAACCCAUUUGAGCAAAUUUAGUAAAUUUUCACUUUUAGUAAAAAAUUUUGAGAAGCGGUCGAAGCUUUUGAAAUCACGGCGAAGCUUUUCCGGUGGUGGUUGUGAGUCCGACGAAAGCUCGACGUCCUGUUUUGCUGCUCCCGAACAGGUAACAUUCCGUCGCCGUUUAAAUUUCGAUCGCAUUCUGCCUCAUCUCGCCGUUCUAUAGUCGUAAAUAAUUUUCGAUACUGUUUAUGUGCUGGGUUGUUUGCUGGUAGAGGCGUUAAGGGCCAUAGGUUUCUCUGUAAUUGUGAAGCAAGUGUCGGAUUAUUGUUGCGUUGGAUUAAUUUUUGUUUUAAGUUGUCUAAUGUGCGAUUUCUGUUGUCUCUGCCUCGACAUUGAUUUCGCCAUUUACUCUCGAUAUUGUUGGUUAAUCUUCGACUUAACAUCCCCGUCUUGGGUACUGCUUGUGAUUUGAAUGCUGGUUUCGUCAUGCUUCGAUUUUUUGAUUAAUGGUUUCGGACUGAUGGUAACUCAUUAUAGCUGGUUUGGUAGCUAAAUUUUCAUACUUUGAUUAAUAGUUUCGGGCUGCUGGUGCCUUGUUAAGGCUGGUUUCGUCGUUUAAAGUUUCGUGCUGUGAUUUUGUUUAAUAGAUUCGGUGAUGGUCUCAUAGUUAAAGCUUUUUUGCUUUGGUCUUGUUUAAUAGCUUCAGGUUGAUGGCGUCUAGUUCGUGGUUAGUAUUCGAUGUUGCCUUGUUUGUCGGGACUUCCUCUCGAGUUCUUUGGCUUCUCGAAUGACAAAGAAUGACGAGGAUACAUUAGACAAAAACUGACAAAUCUCAUAAUUCCUCGAUGACCGUUUUGGCUAUUAAAACUCGUUUUGAGUUUGUCAAAAAGAGGAUGAAGUUGAUAGUAGUGCCCUGCCAUUUCUCCUUUAGCUUUAUUUGCUAUGUCUGUCUUGUGUGGAUUUGAAUUUUCUUUUAUCCUUCUUUGCCUCUUGAGCUCGUUGCCAGUAUGUGGUCGAGUUGGGGAGAUGAACGCAAUAAUUGGGUAUCUUAGUAUGUCUAUUUACAGGGGAUAGUCUGAUUUUGUUUUCGCUAUGGGAAUGGAGCAUCACAGUUCCAGUAUGUGGUCGAGUUGGGGAGAUGAACGCAAUAAUUGGGUAUCUUAGUAUGUCUAUUUACAGGGGAUAGUCUGAUUUUGUUUUCGCUAUGGGAAUGGAGCAUCACAGUUGUAUGUCUCUUUGAAUAUCUACUGUCGAAUGGAACUUGGGUUUAUAUGUCAGUUUCGCUUCUUUUCUAUGUUCAUUCAGUCUCUUGAUUAGGUCGUGUGGUUAUGUUUAGGCAUGAAGUUGUCGAAAUAGCUUGCAAACCGUUUUCUUUCGUCUCUAGUAACAUGAGAAUGGUAUAUAGUUUUGAUAUUGAUUGGUUUAUCUGAAGUGCGGCUUUAUUUUGAUUUUAGUAUUAGGAAAAAUGAUAGUUUCUUAGUUGAAGAGAGACCCUCCUUGCUUUCAUUGAUUGGAUGGACUUGUAUCCCAUAUAAUAUAAGUUAAAAGAAGUGGAAUGAAUUUGUUUUGGUUCAUCUGUGGCGUAAAUUUUUUUUAUUCAUUUUUUUUUAGAAAUUAUCUUCAAGUGAGACGUGAUUACCAAUAUAGCGUAAGUUGUUUGUGAAUAUUUUUUUUCUUUUUGUGGUGUUUUUUGAGAAUAAGAAACUUACUCCUCAUCAGUUCUGUGUUUUGGUUGAGUGUUUUGAUGGUCAAUUAAUAAAACUUUCUCAGUUUAUGUAUACUCUUUUUCAUUGGUAAGUACUUAACGCUAUCUGAAAUCUUUGUUGCUUCGACUCAGUUAACUUUGGUGAUAAGUUGGUUUUAGAUAACGCUAGGAAACUUAUUUGGAUGUGACAAUAUUGACUGUGUGGUGAUCUAUCUACUUUCAUUUAGAUUAUUAUUGGUUACGUGAACUAGGUGUAUGUGCAGAUUUUAUUAUGCAUUAACUGCAUCCUGUAAAAAAUUUUCCUUGUUGGAACCAUACAUCUUGCAACAUUGUCCUCUGGUAUUUUUUUUUUGUUUAAAAAAAAAUAUUGUUUUCUGGCAUCCUCUAUCUGGCUUACAGUUUUAUACCAUGGGACAUGGACGGGUUGUGUGCAAGUAAUAGUUGCCCUUUUAAUCUGUAACGAAGGUCAUACAUUGCUUUGGUUGAGUAAAAUUGGUCUUAGCUUGUAUCUAAGGUCAUACACUUGAUGUAUAGUGUUCAUGCAUGAAUGAGCAAGAGGGUAUAUUGGCUUUAGUGAUGGGAGAAACUGUGAUGGUAUUGAUAGAUGUUAAUCAUUAAGGUACAAAGUGGCUUCUAAAUGAAGGGAUUGGACUUGUCAAAGCCUGCCGUGAACUUCUAAGAUGUUUGUUGAGAAAGUUAAGUAGGAGGUGACAAAAAAGUCUUUAAAUUAAAAGUGGUGACAACUUUAACCAUCUAAGGUCAAAGCUUCAUUUAAAUUGGGGCAAAUUAAUUAAGGGUGGCAAAAAAGUUUCAAAACUAUAAAAGAGUGACACAAGUCUUAAAUAUUGAGUAGAGAUUACAAUUUUAAAAUUAGUGUUAAUGACACUAAUUUUAAAACCCUCAAGUUUUAUUAUUUACACAAAAAUCUCUACCCCAUAUUUACACAAAUAUUCCUAUACCAUCACCACCACUCCUCCCCACAUCCUUUUUGUUGCCGCCCGCCGCCGCCACCUCCUCUUCCUCCACUAUCACUAUCACUAUCAUUGCCACCUCUUCCAGAUUCACCUUUAUUUCCUCCCUCUACAUAACUAUCACCUAUUUUUCUUCUUUUUCCUCUACCACCAUCGCUAUCAACACCACAACAAAUGUCAUCUUCUCAUUCAGCGUCACCACCAGCACCACCACCUUUAUUUUUACCUUAAAUAUCACUUUUUCAUGGGCUCCUCCUCCAAUCAGAUCUUUUUUCAGAAAUUAAGUAAGUAUCGAAGUUGCUGCAGCAACAGUCGAAGUUGCUGCAGCAACGAUUGUUGCUGCAACUUUGAUAAUUGCUACAGCAACUUCGAUAAUUGCUACAACAACUUCGAUAAUUGCUACAACAACUUCGAUGAUUGCUGUAAUAGAACAACUAAUAGUAGUUGUUGCAGCAAUUACUGUAGUUGCUGAAGUAACUCUCGUAGUUGCUGAAUUUGCUAAAUUAUUUCUUCAUUCAUUUUAAAAAUAAAUCAGAAAAUUUCUUUUUAAACUUUUAAUUUUUUUUUUAAUAGUCCAUAAAAAUUAAAAAAGGAAGAACAAAAUGAAAAGAGAAAGAAAAAAAAGAAAAGAUGGAAGAAAAGGAAAAUCUAGAGAGAGAAAAAAAUAAGAAAAAGAUGAUGGGGAGAAAGAAAAAGAAGAAGAAAGAUUGAAAGAUAAGAAAAGGGGAAAACUCUAAAAUUUGAAAUUUGGAGUUAAGAGGGCUUUUUAAAAAAUUUAAAUUCUUUUAAAAAGGGGAAAAUUUCAGAAAUAACAACCUUGUAGCCUUAAUUAUAACUUUUAUAGCAACAGUUUCAUAAUUACGAAAAAUAGUAAAUUGUAUUUGUAUUUAAGUAAAAUGUUGCUAUAUAAAUACAUAUACAAAUAUAUAUGUAGUACUCAUAAAUACACAUGCACAACUGAAAAAUACAUAUUCUUCUAUUACUAUAAAGUGGGUAAAAUAUUGCUACUUUUGUUAUAAGUUGUAAUUUUGAAAAGUGUUGUUAUUUAUUGUAAUUAUAGUCUUAAGGAUGCUAGUUUAUGUAAUUUUUACACCCCAAUUAACUUAAUCACCAUGUUUGUUUUCACCAAUAGUUUUCUUUAUUAUGAUUCACAUAAACCAUCUAUUAUUUAUGUGCUAACUCAACCAGUAUAGUUAUGUGGUAAUUAGCUACCAAAGCUUGGGCAAGUAGGAAGUUGUCCCCUAACAUUUUCUUUGCUAGGAUUUGAUCUAUGAAAUUUGGUUUUCAUCUACUUCUUGACCAUGCCUUGGGUGUUUGAAAAUAAAAAGAAACUCACUUUUAAGUUCUCCAAAAUCCCUUACUGUCUGUUAUUAUAGUAUUAUCUUGUGGUUGCAUGCUUUUACGUGUUUUGUUUGGUUUAUACUUUUAUGUGUUUUGUUUAUUUUCAACCGUAGCUUGUUUUCACGGGUUUUCUCCUAGAUUAUUUUUUAAUUCUUCCUUUUAGAAUAUUUAUUAAUUCAUAUAUCUUUUCCUCGCAUGAACCCGCUCGGGAGUCCAAAUAAACUCUUUUCUUUUCCUUGCAUUACACAAUGGGCCAUUAAGGCCUAUCCUUUGGAAGAUUUUGGGAGCCGGUUACAUGACAUAUGGAUACAAGGAGUCAAAAAGAUAGAAUGGGUUGAAGUCCCGUUCUUGAAGCGGCAACGACACUCGAAAGUCUCAUUCUUUUAUUUAUUUACUAGGAAAAUUAAUCGCGUUUCGCGCGGUGUUAAAAAAUUAAUUAUUUUUUUCAAUUAAUUUUAUAUUCACUUUAGAUUUAUUGUCUAAUUAUAAUAUUAUAACUUGUUAUAUUUAUAGUAUAAAGAAUGUUUCAUUUCAUAAAAAAAAUUAAUAAAUUUAAUAUUUAUUAAAUGACGGAUAGUAUAUUCUUUAUCAAUAAGUUAUAAUAUAUAUUCUCUAAUAACGACUUUAUUUCAUUUCUAUUUCACAUUUAAUGAUGUUGAGAUUUUAACUUGAAAUGAUGUACUUUCUUUUUCAAUCAAAAAGCAUGAAAAAAUUAAAUCAAGUAGAUCCUUGUGUAAAUACAUAUAAUUUCUCCGCACCGCACCGGAUUAUCAGUAAAAUUUAAAACCAACAUUUCAUAACUUUCUUCUUUAUAUGUUUCUGAAGUGUACAAUUUUAUACCUUACAAGAUUAAAAUAACUACACAAGAUUUUUUAUAUAGAAUUGAAAUAUUGUAUAUGAUGAUCCUUAAUUGUCCAUUCACAACUCUUAAUUUUCUUGAGUAAUGAAGAUUAUUAAGAGCAUGAGUUAUAAAGAUGCUAAUAUGUGAGUUAAAAGCAUAAAAUUAAUGGAUAUAUUAGAAUAGAAGUUAUGGGAAUGUGAAAUGAUGUAAGUUAUGAAAAUGACUUAUUAAAUAAAUUAUUUAAGAAAAAUAAAAAUACUUUAAAAUAAAUUAUUAUGUUAGCAUUAUAUAGUGAAAUGGAGACAACAAUAUCAAAAAAUAAGAAUAAAAAAUAGAUACAAUUGGAGGUCAUAAAGAAGUGAACAUCACCUCUUAUAUAUUUAUCUUUUUUAAAACUUUAAGCAUUUAAAAAAUUGACAUAAAGAAGAAUGCUAUAAAAUAAUGUAAGCAAUAUAUGCCCAUCAUAGCAAAGCUAAUGAAUUGUUACAAUAAUUAAAGAAGACAAAAGUCUAACCCUAUAACAUAUAUAUUUGAACAAAGAUGGAGAUAAGAUCUCCUUCUUUAUAAAGAGAGACUUUUGAGAUGCCUAACAUCAAGUAAAAGCUAUGGAGAACAAUAAUGUGAUAAAUUGAUAGUUCUAUUUAUAUUUUAUUCGAGUUCUCUAAAAAUUGAAGAGUAUAUCAUCUCAGUAUGGAAUAAUUAUGAAUACAUUUGACCUAAAAAUCUACCGCGAUAAGUUUUUUUUUUCUUUUUUUUUUUUUAAGUUUCUCAUCCAGUACUUGGGACCUCCAUUCGAGUCCGAUUAAUGCGGAUUCACACCGGAUAGAAUUCAUUCAAAGAUAUCGCUCCUACUAAAUAUUUUUCUACACUAAGAGGUCAAAACAGAGACUAAUUAAGGAGCAGGCCCUCCAACAACAAAUUUCAAUUUGGGAACAAAUGAAAAAUUUAAUGUCUAACCGAAUAAAUUGUAUUUUGCAUUACUAAACCUUCCAUUGGAUAAGCAGUUCCAACUUAAAAACAAAUUAUAACUUUGACAAUAAUAAUUAACCUGAAAAAAGAUGGAAAGAUUACAUCUUUGUGAUCAAUAUCCAAAGUUUGCAUUAUAAUUUAAAUAUUGACAGAAUCAAAGUCAACCAAAAACAAAAUAUGCCAACAAAACACUAAAACAUAUCAAGAAUGAGAUUUAAGCCACACAUUAGUAUACAUAUGACAAUAUUGUGAAAUGCUAUCGUUACCUCUUCAUAUCAAACAACUUCAUCUUCACCAUCCUUUUUAUAAGAUGAUGAUAAUAUAUAUUAAAAUCAAAGAUAUAAAAUAAAAUUAAAACAAAAAAGAAAGAAGAAAAUAAAGGAGAAGAGAAAAAAACAUAUCAUAAGACCCUCCCAAAAAAUGAGAAGAUUAUAUAUAGUAUGGAAAAUAGAAUAUAAAUAGGCAAAAAUAAAUUGUCCACUUAAUAGCCAUUUAUUUUUCUUAUUCAAUGUGCAGUUUUUUUUUCUUCAUAAAUAUAAUGACUUGUAAAAUAUUCAAAAAAACUCAAAAAUAGGAGAAAAAAGAUAAAUAUUUUUCUUGGCUUAUGAACCAUGCCACAUAAGCAUGCCUAUAAGUCUCCUUUAUAUAUAGAAAGAGAUAUUGUUGCGACAUCUAUUUGUAAGGGGUAAAAAAUUAAUGUCAAAAACAUUAAAAUUUAUUAUUAUUAUCAAUUAAGUCACUAAAAUAUCAUGUUCAGAGAUUGUUUCAUCGUUCAUUUCUAUUUUCAUUUGAAGAAGUAAUGUCGUUGCCUUCACGAUCUGUCACUUCCACUAGCAUCUCAAUGAUGGAGAUUUUACCAACACUUUUGAUGUGUUAUUUUUUAAAUAAUUUUGUGUCAACAAAUGCAUUGAUUAAGAAUAUACUCUUAUAUUUUGGGGGAAAAAGAGCUUUGAUAUAUAUGUUCAUUAAGGGAAACAUUGAUGGAUUCUUCAUGAAAUGCAAUAAAUAAAGAGAAAAGUUGGGAAAGACGUUUUGAAGAUGUACAACUGAACAACUUAUCAACUGUCCAUUAAUGAGAAAUAUAAAUAACAUCAAUUGCUUUUCUUUAGCGACCAACAUUAGUGCAUGUAUUAAAAUAAAAUUCAUAUUUUUUAUUAUAAUAAAAUAGAUUAAAAUACCUGAGAGAGGUCAAAAAAAAAAAAAGAAAAAAAAAAAAACAGAAAUGGUGGUGUGCCAUAUAGUCUUGCCUAUGUUUCUCACUCCUAGGUGGGAGAGUUCGUUUUGUAAAUUCCUUGCAAUUAAUUUUUAAAAAGACUUUAUGACCCUUUAAUAAGAAAUUCAUUUUUACAUAAAAAAUCUGAAAAAGUCAUUUUCUUCUAAUUCAUUUGUUAUAUUACGAUAUUCGGGUACAAGAAUCUGUAUAUAUACAACACCAACUUCAACUCUAGUUCAAGUCUAAGAUAAGAACACUUUUGAAGUUACUUAACACCUUCAACACUAGAUUAUGAAUAAUCUAUCUAAGAAGUGUGUUUUUUUUCAAAAAAAUAGAUGAAAUAGAAUUUGUAAGGCCAAGUCCCCCGACUUCACGGAGUGUCCUUAAGGAAUAAUUCCCCUCACUGUACCCGAGGUUAUGGAAUCUUCCUCCCAGGAUAAAAUGGCCUUCAAUCCGAACAAUAGCUGUACCUCAAAUUGUUGGAUUCAAUGAACUCACCCAACAGUUUGAUUGAUCACACAAAAUAUUUUGAAGACAAGAGGAGAGUUUGUAAUUCAGAAAAUUUGUGUCUAAACCUGUGGAUGAAAACAGGUUUAUAUUAGCCUUCAUAUGCCUCUUCUGAAAAGUGGCAAUGAUUCACUUAAAAGGUGUGACCUUUCCUGAAAAAUCAUGUCUGUUCGUCCAAAGAUUGCAUCUUUUUCGAACAGGCAAACCAUUUCAUGAAUCAGUGUAUCAUUUCAUCGAAGGAUUGCAUCCUUCCGAAGCAUCAGUUCGAAACAGUGCAUCUAGUUCAAAGCAGUGCAUCCUUCUGAAGCAUUAGUUCGAAACACUGCAUGCAUGCAUAUAAUUGGAGGAUCAAAACACAAAAAAUAAUUUUCCUUAGGAUUAAAUUUCUGUCAAAUAAAUUUUGUCCAAAAAGAUAGAUCUCAUCGAUCGAUCAUUUGACAAAUCCAAAUUCAAAUCCAACCGAAUUCGAAGUCGAGCGAGCGACGACGACGACGACGGCGCGAGGUAUCUCUUAUUUCUUGCCUCACUUACCAAGUGGAAUAAGUGUUUCUUAAUACAAACACUUGAAAGUCACAUUCUCCCACCAAUGUGGGAGAAAUAGUAGACUUUUCAUUUUAGAGUAUACUUUUCAUUUUAGUGUUUUUUUCUCUAUUUUUCCUUCCACGUAGUUUCCUCCAUUUUCCAUUCACACUUUAUCUAUACUUUGAACCCAACAAUCCCCUACAUGAAUGGGUAAUGACUAUUUUUCAUAAAAUUUUACGGACAAGUAUAUGAUUAUCAAGCAAAGACUGAUUGCAUCUGGAUAAGUGGGUUUCCCUUUGAACUUUCCGUAGUGAACAUGCAUUGGAUGCACUCGAUCAAUUGGUAGAUUUAAUAUCUUUGAACCGUUGAGAUUUAAUGUACACCUAGACAACACAUGUCACACAACCAACCUUUUAUCGUUUAUAGUUCUCACGGUUUUGUUCUUUUCAGCCAUGAGCACAUUUCGAUUUUAUGAGAGCUUAGAGAAUAGGCCUUUACUAACAUUCUCCUUGAAGCGGCUUCCAUUUCGCCCUCACAUACGUGAUUUCUAAACGUUUAAUCCUAUAGAUUAAACUAUUUGGUCAAAUCUGCCAAAUUUAGAUAAUCAUUAAAAGACUUUUCACCUUAAGUGUUAUCCUUGUUUACUAACCAUUGUCUACAUCAUGAGAAUGUGUUGGGUAUAUUGACAAUGUUAAACCUGUCAGUCACAACUUUGUUUGAUCUCAUUGAACCUAGCUCUUGGGAUCUCCAGUCUGCUAGGUAUAGUUACAGCUAUGCUGACUUGUCCUAGGCCUUAAACCCAUUCCCUUGAAUGUCCUUUCCACUCCUUCUCUAGAUAGGCCUUUUGUAAGUAGAUCGAACACAUUAUCCUUUGACUUUACAUUGUCAACAGUGAUAAUUCCACUAGAGAGAAGUUCCCUAAUGGUUUUAUGUCUUUGUCGUAUGUGACGAGAUUUACCGUUGUACAUCAUGCUCCUUGUCCUACUUAUUGCCGCUUGGCUAUCACAGUGUAUACAUACUGGUGCCAUUGGUUUGGGCCAAUAAGGAAUAUCUUUUAAGAAAUUUCGGAGCCAUUCUGCUUCUUCACCGANNNNNNNNNNNNNNNNNNNNNNNNNNNNNNNNNNNNNNNNNNNNNNNNNNNNNNNNNNNNNNNNNNNNNNNNNNNNNNNNNNNNNNNNNNNNNNNNNNNNNNNNNNNNNNNNNNNNNNNNNNNNNNNNNNNNNNNNNNNNNNNNNNNNNNNNNNNNNNNNNNNNNNNNNNNNNNNNNNNNNNNNNNNNNNNNNNNNNNNNNNNNNNNNNNNNNNNNNNNNNNNNNNNNNNNNNNNNNNNNNNNNNNNNNNNNNNNNNNNNNNNNNNNNNNNNNNNNNNNNNNNNNNNNNNNNNNNNNNNNNNNNNNNNNNNNNNNNNNNNNNNNNNNNNNNNNNNNNNNNNNNNNNNNNNNNNNNNNNNNNNNNNNNNNNNNNNNNNNNNNNNNNNNNNNNNNNNNNNNNNNNNNNNNNNNNNNNNNNNNNNNNNNNNNNNNNNNNNNNNNNNNNNNNNNNNNNNNNNNNNNNNNNNNNNNNNNNNNNNNNNNNNNNNNNNNNNNNNNNNNNNNNNNNNNNNNNNNNNNNNNNNNNNNNNNNNNNNNNNNNNNNNNNNNNNNNNNNNNNNNNNNNNNNNNNNNNNNNNNNNNNNNNNNNNNNNNNNNNNNNNCAAAACCCUCAGGUUGUUCCAUGUAAAUUUCUUCCUCCAAUUCUCCACUUAGGAAUGCGAUUUUUCACAUCCAUUUGAUGGAUUUCAAAAUCAUAUACCGCCGCCAAGGAAAUUAAUAUUUGAAUCGAUGUUAUCCUUGUUACUGGCGAGUAUGUAUCAAAAUAAUCAAAACCUUCUUUUUGUUUGAAGUCUUUUGCUACAAGUCUUGCCUUGUAUUUGUCAAUAGUACCAUCCGCCUUCAUUUCCCUUUUGAGGAUCCAUUUAGAACCUAAAGGUUUAUUUCCUGGAGGAAGAUCAACCAAUUCCCACGUAUGGUUGCUUAAGAUUGAAUCAAUCUCACUGUUGACUGCCUCUUUCCAAAAGGAUGAGUCUGACGACGACAUCGCUUCUUUAAAUGUUUGAGGCUCAUUUUCUAAGAGAAAUGUUACAAAAUCUGAUCCAAACGAAGUAGACGUUCUUUGACAUGUACUACGUCUUUGAUUCUCUUCAUUAUGUAUAUUCUCACUUGGUUCAUCUCGAGGUCAUUUAGAUCCUCCACUAGACUGUUCAUGUCUAAUUUUAUACGGGUAAAUAUUUUUAAAAAAUUCAGCAUUAUCUGAUUCAAUUACCAUAUUUUUAUUUAUAUCCGAAUGUUUGGAUUUAUGAACCAAAAAUUGACAUGCUUUACUGCUUUUAGCAUAUCCUAUGAACACGCAGUCUACAGUCUUAGGUCCUAUCUUAACCCUUUUAAGCAUGGGAAUUUGGACCUUUGCUAGACACCUCCACAUUUUGAAAUAUUUCAAGUUGGGUUUCCUUCCUUUCCAUUUUUCAUAAGGAAUUGAUUGUGUCUUACUAUGUGGAGCUCUAUUGAGUAUACGGUUGGCUGUAAGGAUAGCCUCCUCCCACAAGUUUUGCAAAAAAUCGAAACUUAUAAGUAAGACAUUCAUUAUUUUCUUCAACGUUAGUUUUUUUCUUUUCGCAAUUCCGUUGGAUUGAGGUGAAUACGGGGCCGUAGUUUGAUGGACGAUUCCAUUCUCUACACAUAUUUCGGCGAAGAGAGAUUCAUAUUCUCCGCCCCUAUCACUUCUUAUCAUUUUUAUUUUUUUCUCUAACUGAUUUUCUACUUCAGUUUUGUAUUGCCUAAAUACAUCUAUUGCUCCAUCCUUACUAUUUAGCAAGUAGACAUAACAAUAUCUAGUGCAAUUGUCAAUAAAAGUUAUGAAAUACUUUUCCCACCACAUGAUGGUGUUGACUUCAUAUGACAAAUGUUAGUGUGUAUUAAGUCUAAGGGAUUGAAAUUCCUUUCAACGGACUUAUAAGGAUGCUUUGUAUACUUUGAUUCCACACACGUUUGACACUUUGACUUAUUGCAAUCACAGUUUGGCAAAACCUCUAAGUUAAUCAGUUUUCGUAACAUUUUGUAAUUAACAUGCUUAAACGUUCAUGCAACAACUUAUAAGACUCAAGCAAGUAAGAAGAAUUUGAACUUUUAUUGAUUUCAACAUUCAUUACAUUCAUCUUAUAAAGGCCCUUGGUGAUAUAGCCUUUUCCUACAUACACUUCUUCUUUCCUAAUUACAAUUUUUCCAGAAACGGUUACACAUUUGAAUUCGUUCUUGUCUAGAAGUGAAACAGAAAUCAAGUUCCUACGUACUUUCGGAAUAUAUAAGACAUUGUUAAGUGUCAAGACCUUUCCUGAAGUCAUUUUCAGGACCACUUUUCCUCUUCCUUCUACCUUAGCCGUAGCGGAGUUAGCCAUGUAGAUCAUUUCUUCUACUUGAGUCGGAGCGAAUGACGAAAACAACUCUUUGUUGACACAAACAUAGUAGGUGGCACCAGAAUCUAUCCACCACUUGGGAAGAUUCCCCACCAAGUUGCAUUCUGAAAACAUAGCACACAGAUCAUCACAUUCUUUGUUGUACUCAAUCAUAUUUACUUGGUCCCUUUUCUUGCCUUUCUUAGGGGCACGACAAUUCGUGGACUUAUGGCCAAUCUUGCCACAGUUGAAGCACUUUCCCUUGAAUUUCUUCUUGGGUUGAUUGCUUCCUUGUUUAACUUUCUUCUUUUUCUUAGAAUUAUUUUGGUUAUCUUCUACAAUAUGUGCUCCAUUAAUUGUAGAAUUCCUUUUUGACCUUCUCUCGGCAGCCUUGUUAUCCUCUUCAAUAUGCAGUCGAACAAUAAGAUCUUCGAUAGUCAUCUUCUUGCGUUUGUGCUUCAAGUAGUUUUUGAAGUCUUUCCACACAGGUGGUAGCUUCUCAAUGAUCUCUGCUACUUGAAAUGGAUCAUUCACAAUCAAAACUACAAAACAGUUUAUUUGAGUACUAAGAAUAUUUUCAAUUUGUUCAACUAAGGUAUUUUUCAAAGUUAUACCAUCCGCUAGGAGAUCGUGGGUGAUUACUUGCAAUUUCUGUAGUUGAGAGAUAACCGCUUUGCUAUCUAUCAUUUUAAAGUCCAGGAACCUUGCAACAAAGAAUUUCUUAAUUCUCGCAUCCUCUGUCUUGUAUUUUCGUUCUAGUGCCCCCCACAAUUCCUUCGAUGUCUUAGUUCCGCUGUAAACAUUAUAAAGGUCGUCUUGGAGACCACUCAAGCUAUAGUUCAUGCAAAAGAAAUCUGAGUGCUUCCAAGCCUCUACAAUUAUGAAACGCUCUUUGUCUGAGGUUCUCUCGGGCACCUCAGGAGCAUUCUCACUAGUGAACCUUUGAAGACAUAGUGUUGUGAGGUAGAAGAAUAUCUUCUGCUGUCAUCUCUUAAAGUCAAUGCCCGCAAAUUAUUCGGGCUUCUCCGCAGGUGCCAUAGGUUGUGGAGCAUUUGCUCGACUUGUUGAGGCAAUACUAGUUGCCCCCACAGUCGUAGCCGCAUCUUGAAUUUGACUUUCGUUAGUCAUUUUUUCUGUUUCCAUAAGACAAUAAAAUUUAGUAUUUUCAGAAUUCUACUUAUAAAGUUAAGCAACUUUAAACUUUUCCUUUUGUUUCUAGUUAACGAUGAAGUUUUUAUGACUUCCAAUCGUCAACCGAGUGAUCUUUAACUUGUGAUGAAGAUUUUAUGUCUUCGAAUCACUAGUUAAGUUCAAAUAGAGUAGAAAGUUUUAAAGCUUUAAUCUCCAAAAAUUAGCAAUACAGAUUCUGUAAAUUAUUCCUUAAGAUUGUUAUAUUACGGUGUUUGGGUACAAGAAUCUGUAUACAUGCAACACCAACUUCAACUCUAGUUCAAGUCUAAGACAAGAACACUUUUGAAGUUACUUAACACCUUCAACAUUAGAUUAUGAAUAAUCUAUCUAAGAAGUGUGUUUAUUUUCAAAAAAUAGAUGAAAUAGAAUUUGUAAGGCCAAGUUCCCCGACUUCACGGAGUGUCCUUAAGGAAUAAUUUCCCUCACUGUACCCGAGGUUAUGAAAUCUUCCUCCCAGGAUAAAAUGACCUUCAAUCCGAACAAUGGUUGUACCUCAAAUUGUUGGAUUCAACGAACUCACUCAACUGUUUGAUUGAUCACACAGAAUGUUUUGACAAGAAGAGAGUUUGUAAUUCAGAAAAUUCGUGUCUAAACCUGUGGAUGAAAGCAGAUUUAUGUAGCCUUCGUAUGCCUCUUCUGAAAAGUGACAAUGGUUCACUUAAAAGGUGUGACCUUUCCUGAAAAAUAAUAUCUGUUCAUCCAAAGAUUGCAUCUUUUCCGAACAGGCAAACCAUUUCAUGAAUCAGUGUGUCAUUUCAUCGAAGGAUUGCAUCCUCCCGAAGCAUCAGUUUGAAACAGUGCAUCCUUCUGAAACAUCAGUUCGAAACACUGCAUGCAUGCAUAUAACUGGAGGAUCAAAAAACAAAAAAUAAUUUACAGUGUUUUUUAUUUUAUUUUUGAAUUAAAUUUUAUCCAGGAAGAUAUAUCUCAUCAAUCGAUCCAAAGCCAAAGCCGAGCUGAGCGACGACGACAGCACUAAGCAUCUCUUAUUUCUUGCCUCACUUACCAAGUGGAAUAAGUGUUUCUUAAUAUAAACACUUGAAAGUCACAUUAUCCCACCAAUGUGGGAGAAAUAGUAGACUUUCCAUUUUAGAGUACACUUUUUAUUUUAGUGUUUUCUUCUCUAUUUUUCCUUCCACUUAGUUUGCUCCAUUUUCCAGUCACACUUUAUCUAUACUUUUAACCCAACAUCAUUUUUUAAGUAAUCAUGAGAUCCCAUUUGUUUCUUAUAGAUUUUCUCACACCAUGAAAAACGCUUAAAUGUAUCUUUUGGUCUAUGUGGAUGCUAAAUUAUCUAGCUAAUAAGUAAACAAUAUAGAGGGCCGAAAAACAUUCAGUAGUUUAACAUGUUCUUGGAGUAUACAAAUAAAGAUGAGUGAAAAAGUGAGGAAAAAUACAACGAAAAGACGAAAAGAUCAACUACUGAUUUAUUCAAAAAAUCUAGGUGACUCAUAAAAGAUCUGCAACAUUUUUUCAAUGAAAGAUUUCUUUUCUUGGAGGGUUGUCGCCAAAUAAAAGGAGUCAAAUGUUAGGUAUUUAAUAUAUUAUAUGCAUUUAUACUAUUUAUUUGAAGUUCAAGAAAAUAAAGAAUAAAUUUUGAAUUUUGUAGUUUUAAAUUAAAGAUACAUAGAAUGUAUUAAAAUAUCUUUUAAUUUUAUAAUCUUAAAAUAUGUCAUGUGAAAAGUUGAACCUUUAAGCAUUGAAAAAAUUGAAAAGAGACAUUAUGUUCUUUGUGAAACGGAAUUAAAAAAAAUAGAAAAAAUGAAUCAAAAACAAAGAAAGUAUUAAUUGAAGUUUGAAAGAAUAAUAUAGAGUUUCAAAAAGACGUCUUAAUGUAAAUUAACCUUCGUCCUUUUUAAAGAGAUCCAAGUGUUGUUGUCCUAAGCUACGGACAUUCCGUUACACCUGCACCUCGUGAUUUGGUCAUUAGAUUCAUUUUAGCAUAUUCUGCAUUAUCCAAGCAAAUAUACUACCAUCACAGAGUGAGUGAAAAAGUAUUAAUGGAAAUUAUACUAUAUAGCUGUUUAAAAGCUCUUAAAUGGUUAAAUCGGGAACUAUCUACUUUUAGUUUUUCCAAUUGGAAUUCUCACUAAUUCGAAUCCACAUUGUAGGAUCCAUUUUGGGGUGAUGCUUCGAACGAAUUUUUCUCCAUAUUCAUGAUCCGAACUUGAGAUUUCUGGUUAAGAGUGGAGCGUCCCACCACUACACUGCGCCACAACCCAUGUCUGUAACUAAUACGCUGACUUCAAGUUGCUAGUACUUUUUAAAUUUAAAUUUGUCGUUGUGUUCUGUUUGGAUUGAAGAAAAGAAAA